rnacentral:rRNA from 1 species
AUCUAUGGCCAUGCUACCCUGAACAAGCCCGAUCCCAUCUGAUCUCAGAAGCUAAGCAGGGUCGGACCUGGUUAGUACUUGGAUGGGAGACCACCUAGGAAGACCAGAUGCUGUAGGCA